rnacentral:rRNA from 1 species
CGCGUAGGAAUAUGCCUUGAAGUGGGGGACAACUUGGGGAAACUCAAGCUAAUACCGCGUAAUGUCUAAGGACAAAAGCUGGGGACCUUCGGGCCUGGCGCUUCAAGAUUAGCCUGCGUCCGAUUAGCUAGUUGGUGGGGUAAGGGCCUACCAAGGCGACGAUCGGUAGCUGGUCUGAGAGGAUGACCAGCCACACUGGAACUGAGACACGGUCCAGACUCCUACGGGAGGCAGCAGUGGGGAAUAUUGGACAAUGGGGGCAACCCUGAUCCAGCAAUGCCGCGUGUGUGAAGAAGGCCUGAGGGUUGUAAAGCACUUUCAGUGGGGAGGAGGAUUGAUAGGUUAAGAGCUAAUUAAUUGGACGUUACCCACAGAAGAAGCACCGGCUAACUCCGUGCCAGCAGCCGCGGUAAUACGGAGGGUGCAAGCGUUAAUCGGAAUUACUGGGCGUAAAGAGUGCGUA